GACGAACGCUGGCGGCGUGCUUAACACAUGCAAGUCGAACGAAGAGCGAUGGAAGCUUGCUUCUAUCAAUCUUAGUGGCGAACGGGUGAGUAACGCGUAAUCAACCUGCCCUUCAGAGGGGGACAACAGUUGGAAACGACUGCUAAUACCGCAUACGAUCUAAACUCGGCAUCGAGGAUAGAUGAAAGGUGGCCUCUACAUGUAAGCUAUCACUGAAGGAGGGGAUUGCGUCUGAUUAGCUAGUUGGAGGGGUAACGGCCCACCAAGGCGAUGAUCAGUAGCCGGUCUGAGAGGAUGAAAGGCCACAUUGGGACUGAGACAAGGCCCAGACUCCUACGGGAGGCAGCAGUGGGGAAUCUUCCGCAAUGGACGAAAGUCGGACGGAGCAACGCCGCGUGAGUGAUGACGGCCUUCGGGUUGUAAAGCUCUGUUAAUCGGGACGAAAGGCCUUCUUGCGAAUAGUGAGAAGGAUUGACGGUACCGGAAUAGAAAGCCACGGCUAACUACGUG
rnacentral:rRNA from 1 species